rnacentral:lncRNA from 1 species
GAAAGGAAAAAAUUCAGUUUAGGGUUUUAAACCCUAAUGCUGACUGAAAGGAAAAAUUCAGUUUAGGGUUUAAAACUCUAAUGUUGACUGAAAGGAAAAUUCAGUUUAGGGUUUAAAACCCUAAUGCUGACUGGAAGGAAAAGCUCAGUUUGGGGUUUAAAACCCUAAUGCUGGCUGAAUGGGAAAAAGUUCAGUUUAGGGUUUAAAAUCCUAUUGCUGACUAAAGGGAAAAUUUAGUUUAGGGUUUAAAACCCUAAUGCUGAUUACAUGGAAAAGCUCAGUUUAGGGUUUAAAACCCUAAUGCUGAUUACAUGGAAAAGUUCAGUUUAGGGUUUAAAACCCUAAUGCUGACUGGAAGGAAAAGCUCAGUUUGGGGUUUAAAACCCUAAUGCUGGCUGAUUGGAAAAAAGUUCAGUUUACGGUUUAAAACCCUAAUGCUGACUAAAAGGAAAAUUCAGUUUAGGGUUUAAAACCCUAAUGCUGAUUACAUGGAAAAGUUCAGUUUAGGGUUUAAAACCCUAAUGCUGGCUGAAAGGAAAAAAGUUCAGUUUAUGGUUUAAAACCCUAAUGCCGGCUAAAGGAAAAAUUCAGUUUAGGGUUUAAAACCCUAAUGCUGAUUACAUGGAAAAGCUCAGUUUAGGGUUUAAAACCCUAAUGUUGGCUGAAUGGAAAAAGUUCAGUUUAGGGUUUAAAACCCUAAUGCUGACUAAAGAGAAAAUUCCUGUUUAGGGUUUAAAACCCUAAUGUUGAUUACAUGGAAAAGCUCAGUUUAGGGUUUAAAACCCUAAUGCUGGCUGAAUGGAAAAAAGUUCAGUUUAGGGUUUAAAACACUAAUGCUGACUAAAGGGAAAAUUCAGUUUAGGAAUUAAAACCCUAAUGCUGAUUACAUGGAAAAGCUCAGUUUAGGGUUUAAAACCCUAAUGCUGGCUGAAUGGAAAAAAGUUCAGUUUAGGGUUUAAAACCCUAAUGCUGACUAAAAGGAAAAUUCAGUUUAGGGCUUAAAACCCUAAUGCUGAUCGCAUGGAAAAGCUCAGUUUAGGGUUUAAAACCCUAAUGCUGGCUGAAUGGAAAAAAGUUCAGUUUAGGGUUUAAAACCCUAAUGCUGACUAAAGGAAAAAUUCAGUUUAGGGUUUAAAACCCUAAUGCUGAUUUAAUGGAAAAGCUCAGUUUAUGGUUUAAAACCCUAAUGCUGGCUGAAUGGAAAAAAAGUUCAGUUUAGGGUUUAAAACCCUAAUGAUGACUAAAAGGAAAAUUCAGUUUAGGGUUUAAAACCCUAAUGCCGACUGGAAGGAAAAGCUCAGUUUAGGGUUUAAAACCCUAAUGCUGGCUGAAUGGAAAAAUGUUCAGUUUAGGGUUUAAAACCCUAAUGCAGACUGGAAGGAAAAUUUAGUUUAGGGUUUAAAACCCUAAUGCUGAUUACAUGGAAAAGCACAGUUUGGGGUUUAAAACCCUAAUGCUGGCUGAAUGGAAAAAAGUUCAGUUUAGGGUUUAAAACCCUAAUGCUGACUAAAGGAAAAAUUCAGUUUAGGGUUUAAAACCCUAAUGUUGAUCGCAUGGAAAAGCUCAGUUUAGGGUUUAAAACCCUAAUGCUGGCUGAAUGGAAAAAAGUUCAGUUUAGGGUUUAAAACCCUAAUGCAGACUGAAAGGAAAAAUUCAGUUUAGGGUUUAAAACCCUAAUGCUGACUGAAAGGAAAAAUUCAGUUUAGGGUUUAAAACCCUAAUGCUGACUGGAAGGAAAAGCUCAGUUUAGGGUUUUAAACCCUAAUGCUGGCUGAAUGGGAAAAAGUUCAGUUUAGGGUUUAAAACUCUAAUGCUGACUGAAAGGAAAAUUCAGUUUAGGGUUUAAAACCCUAAUGCCGACUGGAAGGAAAAGCUCAGUUUGGGGUUUAAAACCCUAAUGCUGGCUGAAUGGAAAAAAGUACAGUUUAGGGUUUAAAACCCUAAUGCUGACUAAAAGGAAAAUUUAGUUUAGGGUUUAAAACCCUAAUGCUGAUUACACGGAAAAGCUCAGUUUGGGGUUUAAAACCCUAAUGCUGGCUGAAUGGAAAAAUGUUCAGUUUAGGGUUUAAAACCCUAAUGCUGACUAAAGGAAAAAUUCAGUUUAGGGUUUAAAACCCUAAUGCCGAUUGAAUGGAAAAGCUCAGUUUAUGGUUUAAAACCCUAAUGCUGACUGCAUGGAAAAGCUU